GCUCAUCAUCCUUCUCCAUAGGGAAAAAAAUGGCAUUAACUUCCAACAAGAAACUGCUGCUCUUCUACCGUAUCCCCUUUAGAACAUAAAAUAUUAAGAAAGGGUUUCUGAAGCAUUCACAGGAACAGAAAACUGAAGCCUGAAGCACUUCACUCUGCAGCAAGAUAACCCCUUAAAAAUCAUCCAGAAUUUGGGGGAUGGAGGUAACCCGUCAACACCCGCGACACCCCUACCCUAAGGUGGGGAGCAGGAUUCCGUCAAACAGAAAAUGCCACUCUCCGCCCCCUCCGCCAUCCGGAACGCUGACCGGCGCGGAGUGCGGGGGCGGCCGAGGGCGGGAGCGGCGAGGAGGCGGGACGCGACACACGCACCACGCCGAGAACUGCUUCACCGCUUUUUUAAAGGUCGCAGAGGGAGCGGCGGCCGC
rnacentral:lncRNA from 10 species